UACGUAGGGGGCUAGCGUUGUCCGGAAUCAUUGGGCGUAAAGCGCGUGUAGGCGGUUCGGUAAGUCCGCUGUGAAAGUCGGGGGCUCAACCCUCGAAUGCCGGUGGAUACUGUCGGACUAGAGUACGGAAGAGGCGAGUGGAAUUCCUGGUGUAGCGGUGGAAUGCGCAGAUAUCAGGAGGAACACCAACGGCGAAGGCAGCUCGCUGGGACGGUACUGACGCUGAGGCGCGAAAGCGUGGGGAGCGAACAGG
rnacentral:rRNA from 1 species